AGUGUCUGCCCUGCUCUGUGCAGUGGUCACCAGCAUCAUCUGGAGGCAGUCCGAAAGCAAGACAAAACUCUCGUUCAAGGUGCCCUUCCUGCCGGUUCUCCCCGUCCUGAGCAUCUUCGUGAAUGUCUAUCUCAUGAUGCAGCUGGACCAAGGCACGUGGGUGCGCUUUGCAGUGUGGAUGAUAAUAGGCUUCAUCAUCUACUUUGGCUAUGGUCUCUGGCACAGCGAGGAGGCGUCCCUGGCCACUGACCAAGCAAGGACUCCUGAUGGCAAUUUGGACCAGUGCAAGUGAUGCGCAGCCCCACCCCCCGGAGGUGGCAGCAGCCCUGAGGGACACCCCCAGAAGACCGGGAGGCACCCUGCUGUCUCCACCGCUGCAGCAGGAACCACCCACAUUCAUGAUGCCCCUAGUGCAACCCAAGGUGCAAUGACUUGAACCACAGCCUCGGCCACAGCUCGCGUGUCCUGUCCACACUCCAUUCUGCGGGAGGCUAAUGAGGCGCUGGCCACCUCCGGACAGCUCCAUGGCUGGGACCACUUGUCUGGGGCUGGCUGCCAUGUCUCCUCACUUCCCUCU